GGAAUCUUGGACAAUGGGCGCAAGCCUGAUCCAGCCAUGCCGCGUGAGUGAAGAAGGCCUUAGGGUUGUAAAACUCUUUCGCCGGAGAAGAUAAUGACGGUAUCCGGAGAAGAAGCCCCGGCUAACUUCGUGCCAGCAGCCGCGGUAAUACGAAGGGGGCUAGCGUUGCUCGGAAUCACUGGGCGUAAAGCGCACGUAGGCGGACUCUUAAGUCGGUGGUGAAAUCCUGGAGCUCAACUCCAGAACUGCCUUCGAUACUGAGAGUCUUGAGUCCGGGAGAGGUGAGUGGAACUGCGAGUGUAGAGGUGAAAUUCGUAGAUAUUCGCAAGAACACCAGUGGCGAAGGCGGCUCACUGGCCCGGUACUGACGCUGAGGUGCGAAAGCGUGGGGAGCAAA
rnacentral:rRNA from 1 species